rnacentral:rRNA from 1 species
CCAAUAGCGUAUAUUAAAGUUGUUGCAGUUAAAAAGCUCGUAGUUGAAUUUCGGGAUCAGUAGGUUGGUCAUACCUCUGGUAUGUACUGGCCUCACUGAUUCCUCCCUCUUGAAGAACUGUAAUGUCAUUAAUUUGAUGUUGCGGGGAAUCAGGACUGUUACUUUGAAAAAAUUAGAGUGUUUAAAGCAGGCUCACGCUUGAAUACAUUAGCAUGGAAUAAUGAAAUAGGACGUAUGAUCCUAUUUUGUUGGUUUCUAGGAUUGACGUAAUGAUUAAUAGGGAUAGUUGGGGGCAUUAGUAUUCAAUUGUCAGAGGUGAAAUUCUUGGAUUUAUUGAAGACUAACUACUGCGAAAGCAUUUGCCAAGGAUGUUUUCAUUAAUCAAGAACGAAAGUUAGGGGAUCGAAGACGAUCAGAUACCGUCGUAGUCUUAACCAUAAACUAUGCCGACUAGGGAUCGGAUGAUGUUAAUUUUUUAAUGGCUCAUUCGGCGCCUUACG